ensembl:snoRNA SCARNA10 Small nucleolar RNA U85
GCCCAGUGAUGAGUCCAAGGCGAAUACGAGCGAACUGAACGAGAGCUGGGUUCUUCUUGCCUCUAUUGGCAGGUAAUCUUGGCAGUGCAGAGGAGCAUUCCUGCUCUGCUGUAAGGGCCUGCCUACAGUGACUUGGCUCAACCCAAAUUAUUCCUCUACAGUUACAGCAGAGUAAUUGCUGGGAUGACGCUGACAGUGUGUGUGUUGUGUGAAUGUGUGUGCGCGUUUGUAAGAGACCAGAAGUUCACCCAGCUCUCUCUGCUCUUCAGUUGGCAAUGAGUUGUUCUUUGGUAAUCUGAGGGCA